rnacentral:rRNA from 1 species
GAUUAAGCUAUAAAGAGUGCAUGGCGAAUGCCUUGGCAUCAGGAGUCGAAGAAGGUCGUGAUAAGCUGCGAUAAGCUCGGGGUAGACGCACAUAGUCUGUGAACCCGAGAUC